rnacentral:sRNA from 1 species
GGCCUAAACUGUACGAAUUGUACGGCAUGGUCUAAAAACGGUUCAACGUAGAAAGCUCCUAGUCAGAGCACGUUGAACCGUCAUAUCUCGAAAGGGGUAUGGGUGGCCCGCAAGGGUCCAUC